rnacentral:rRNA from 1 species
GACAGAGGGUGCAAACGUUGCUCGGAAUCACUGGGCGUAAAGGGCGUGUAGGCGGGACAGUAAGUCGGGCGUGAAAUCCCUGGGCUCAACCCAGGAACUGCACUCGAAACUACUAUUCUUGAGUGUCGGAGAGGAAAGCGGAAUUCCUGGUGUAGAGGUGAAAUUCGUAGAUAUCAGGAGGAACACCAGUGGCGGAAGGCGGCUUUCUGGA